UGCAGCACAUUGCGAACCUUGCUGGGAACAAAACUCUAGUUUUGCCUGUGCCUGCAUUUAACGUCAUCAAUGGAGGAUCACAUGGUUUCACUGUCAACCUGAAUUUUACGAACCUUGUUGGGAACAGAACUCGGACAUGUUUCCAAGGGUGUAAAACCCAAAGGCAGGGGAGCUUCGAAGAAGGCUCCUGCUAGAAAGCAGAAAAUGCCAACUGCCGUUGAUAGUGAAGAGGAAGAUGAUAAGGAGCUUGAACUGAAAGAACAACUGGCAGCGUAUAACAUUGAUUCUCCUUCAGAUCAAACAGGUAUAUGAUCAUCCAUAAGCAGUAAGCUUUCGGAUCAAAGCGAAGCUAAGAAUAGGGUGUUAGUUGAUUGCGAAUUGAUAACCAGUAGAUGCACAUCCAUGGAGUUUUUGCUUGCGCUUGUUGAGAAGCUAUUUGGCUGCGAGAAGGCAUUGAAUCUUGUUGUUAAU